GGCUCAGGAUGAACGCUGGCGGCGUGCCUAAUACAUGCAAGUCGAGCGAACAGACGAGGAGCUUGCUCCUCUGACGUUAGCGGCGGACGGGUGAGUAACACGUGGAUAACCUACCUAUAAGACUGGGAUAACUUCGGGAAACCGGAGCUAAUACCGGAUAAUAUAUUGAACCGCAUGGUUCAAUAGUGAAAGACGGUUUUGCUGUCACUUAUAGAUGGAUCCGCGCCGCAUUAGCUAGUUGGUAAGGUAACGGCUUACCAAGGCAACGAUGCGUAGCCGACCUGAGAGGGUGAUCGGCCACACUGGAACUGAGACACGGUCCAGACUCCUACGGGAGGCAGCAGUAGGGAAUCUUCCGCAAUGGGCGAAAGCCUGACGGAGCAACGCCGCGUGAGUGAUGAAGGUCUUCGGAUCGUAAAACUCUGUUAUUAGGGAAGAACAAAUGUGUAAGUAACUAUGCACGUCUUGACGGUACCUAAUCAGAAAGCCACGGCUAACUACGUGCCAGCAGCCGCGGUAAUACGUAGGUGGCAAGCGUUAUCCGGAAUUAUUGGGCGUAAAGCGCGCGUAGGCGGUUUUUUAAGUCUGAUGUGAAAGCCCACGGCUCAACCGUGGAGGGUCAUUGGAAACUGGAAAACUUGAGUGCAGAAGAGGAAAGUGGAAUUCCAUGUGUAGCGGUGAAAUGCGCAGAGAUAUGGAGGAACACCAGUGGCGAAGGCGACUUUCUGGUCUGUAACUGACGCUGAUGUGCGAAAGCGUGGGGAUCAAACAGGAUUAGAUACCCUGGUAGUCCACGCCGUAAACGAUGAGUGCUAAGUGUUAGGGGGUUUCCGCCCCUUAGUGCUGCAGCUAACGCAUUAAGCACUC
rnacentral:rRNA from 1 species